CACCCCCAGGACAUGCAAACACAGGAGAUACCAUCUUUAACUCACGGCGUUCUCAUGAGACUCGAGGAUUUGGCCAUUUUGCGACGCUCGUGGUGGAUUGCAGCCUGAAACAAGCCAAUAGAUCAAUAUAUCUGUUCCAUUUGGGUAACAUUUAAGCAAUUUUUUUUUUAACGUGUUUUCUCAUAGACGUGAUUAUCCAAACCAAGCUAUAUGCAAACACAGCAUUGCUACAUGCUAAUAGCGGUCACGUUAGAACCGUUUGAACAUUAACAUUUCUUAUUAACUGCCCUCUCUUUGAUGCACAGUGUUCCCUGAAGGCAGCGGCACGACACAACUGAGCUGCUUUAUCUUUUACAAACACAUGCUGUCGUUCCUCUUUACUGCUGCCCCGUAGCCCCGUACGGUUGGAUUCUCUUGGCUGGCCCGACCGAUGUCGUCCUCUCUGCCUCCACCAACCGGUACCGGCACCUGAAAACACUGACAGCAGAGACAGAAGCUGCACAGGGCCAAUUUCCUGAGUGCUGCUCACCACUGGCACUCAUUUAAUUACUGCAGAGACGGAGGUGGGAGGCAGGGCCUGUCAGAGCUUAAGCCUGGAUCAGUGUGGUCCUUCGCACUGGGG